rnacentral:rRNA from 1 species
UGUAAAAUUUUAAAGGUCGAACAGACCUAAUAUUUUAGCUUCUACACCAAAAAUAAAUUUUAAUCCAACAUCGAGGUCGCAAACUUCUUUAUCGAUAAGAACUCUCAAAAAAAAUUACGCUGUUAUCCCUAAGGUAAUUUAAUCUUAUAAUCCAAAAACAAGGAUCAAAAAACCAUAAAUUAAUGUUUUAAAAAAUAAAAAGUUAAUUAAAUUUUUCUAUCACCCCAACAAAAUAAUUAAAAUAAUAAUUAAGUAAAAAAAACCCAAUAAAAUUAUUAACUUAAAUAUUAAACUCUAUAGGGUCUUCUCGUCUUCAUAAAAAAUUUAAGCUUUUUUACUAAAAAAUAAAAUUCUAAAUCAAUUUUAUUGAGACAGUUAUUUUUUCAUCAAACCAUUCAUUCCAGCUUUCAAUUAAAAAACUAAUGAUUAUGCUACCUUUGCACAGUCAAAAUACUGCGGCCAUUUAAAUAAUCAUUGGGCAGGUCAGACCUUAAAUCAUAAUCUAAAGGCC